GCACAAGCGGUGGAGCAUGUGGAUUAAUUCGAUGCAACGCGAAGAACCUUACCUGGGUUUGACAUCGCCGGAAAACUCGCAGAGAUGUGGGGUCCUUCGGGGCCGGUGACAGGUGGUGCAUGGCUGUCGUCAGCUCGUGUCGUGAGAUGUUGGGUUAAGUCCCGCAACGAGCGCAACCCUCGUUCGAUGUUGCCAGCGGGUUAUGCCGGGGACUCAUCGAAGACUGCCGGGGUCAACUCGGAGGAAGGUGGGGAUGACGUCAAGUCAUCAUGCCCCUUAUGUCCAGGGCUUCACGCAUGCUACAAUGGCCGGUACAAACCGUUGCGAGCCCGUGAGGGGGAGCGAAUCGGAAAAAGCCGGUCUCAGUUCGGAUCGGGGUCUGCAACUCGACCCCGUGAAGUCGGAGUCGCUAGUAAUCGCAGAUCAGCAACGCUGCGGUGAAUACGUUCCCGGGC
rnacentral:rRNA from 1 species